AUAUAAGAUGCAUCAACUUUGUUAUUUAAAAUCAAAACAGUUGUGAAGUGAUUAUAUCAUCGUGUAUGUAUAUAUGCAAUAUGAAGAACCUGAGCUGCAGCUCAGGUUCUUUUUUUG
rnacentral:sRNA from 1 species